rnacentral:rRNA from 1 species
AACGAACGCUGGCGGCAUGCCUAACACAUGCAAGUCGAACGAGACCUUCGGGUCUAGUGGCGCACGGGUGCGUAACGCGUGGGAACCUGCCUUUAGGUCCGGAAUAACUCAGAGAAAUUUGAGCUAAUACCGGAUGAUGUCUUCGGACCAAAGAUUUAUCGCCUUUAGAUGGGCCCGCGUUGGAUUAGCUAGUUGGUGGGGUAAAGGCCUACCAAGGCGACGAUCCAUAGCUGGUCUGAGAGGAUGAUCAGCCACACUGGGACUGAGACACGGCCCAGACUCCUACGGGAGGCAGCAGUGGGGAAUAUUGGACAAUGGGCGAAAGCCUGAUCCAGCAAUGCCGCGUGAGUGAGGAAGGCCUUAGGGUUGUAAAGCUCUUUUACCCGAGAUGAUAAUGACAGUAUCGGGAGAAUAAGCUCCGGCUAACUCCGUG